GCAGACUCACUCUGUUCUUUGCUGCCAUCUCCAGCUCAGGACUUUUUUGGUCUGCUAUAUGAACAUGCAGAAUGAAACAUAAGACUGGGUCGUAAAACUUGGUCCCACUUUGUUCUGCUACAAAAUA